rnacentral:rRNA from 1 species
UACGUAGGGCGCAAGCGUUGUCCGGAAUUAUUGGGCGUAAAGAGCUCGUAGGCGGUCUGUUGCGUCCGCUGUGAAAACUCGGGGCUUAACCCCGAGCCUGCAGUGGAUACGGGCAGACUAGAGGUAGGUAGGGGAGAAUGGAAUUCCCGGUGUAGCGGUGAAAUGCGCAGAUAUCAGGAGGAACACCGGUGGCGAAGGCGGGUCUCUGGGACGGUACUGACGCUGAGACGCGAAAGCGUGGGGAGCGAACAGG